rnacentral:rRNA from 1 species
GUAGUUAGCCGUGGCUUCCUCUCUCGGUACCGUCAAAUAUUCGUCCCGAGUGACAGCCGUUUACGACCCGAAGGCCUUCAUCCGGCACGCAGCAUCGCUCCGUCAGACUUUCGUCCAUUGCGGAAGAUUCUCG